rnacentral:lncRNA from 1 species
AGGACGUGGCCGGGGGGCUCACCGGUCGGAAGGAAGAAAAGCAGAGGUAGAAGAGAGAGCUGUGAGACAAAGCGCAUUCCGGGAUUUUACGCUUUCGUUGCGGGGAGACGGGAAGCGGGCGCGCGCAGAAGAAUGCUGGGCGGCUGGGCCGACUGGGCUGCGGGGCUGCGCGGGGGAAGGGGGCCGUGAUGCCGAUGCGGCUGGCUGGCUUGCUCGCCCGCGCGGGAGGAAGGCGGGCCGAGGCGGCUGGGCCGGCUCGGCCCAAGUGAGCAGGUAAGGUUUUUGUUUUUGUUUUUCCCUUUUCUAUUUUCUGUUUUUGCAAAUGUUUUUGGAUUCAAAUUUCAAAUACCAUUUUGAAAAGCUGAGAAGUAGUAGAAUUCAAAUAUGGUACUAGUAUUUGGAAAUAUUCAAAUGGGGUUUAAGGUUUAAGACAAAACCCAUUUGAAUCUCAUUUGAAAAAUAGAGGGA